ACUUGAUGGUGUGGGUAUUUACGGAGAAGGUCCCUAAAACGCUCCCAAGUCUCAAAGAAAAUUUCCCCAUCUGUUUAUGUGAAACUUGUGAUUGGCCUUCGCAGCU